rnacentral:rRNA from 1 species
UCAAGAAACUUCCACAAUGGGCGAAAGCCUGAUGGAGCGACGUCGCGUGAUGGACGAAGUGCUUCGGCACGUAAACAUCUUUUAUGUGGGAUGAAAUUAUUGACAGUACCACAUGAAUAAGGGGCUCCUAACUCUGUGCCAGCAGGAGCGGUAAUACAGAGGCCCCAAGCGUUAUCCGGAAUCACUGGGCGUAAAGGGUGUCGAGGCGGUUGUAUUAGUCGUUCGUAAAAUCUACGAGCUUAACUUGUAGGCGGCGAACGAAACGGUACGACUUGAGGUUUGGAGAGGUGCGUGGAACUCACGGUGUAGGGGUGAAAUCCGUUGAUAUCGUGGGGAACACCAAAGGCGAAGGCAGCGCACUGGCCAAAAUCUGACGCUCACACACGAAAGCUAGGGUAGCGAAGAGGAUUAGAUACCCAGUAGUCCCUGAGCGGGCUGGCAAGGCGCAU